rnacentral:rRNA from 1 species
CCUACGGGUGGCAGCAGUGGGGAAUAUUGCGCAAUGGGCGAAAGCCUGACGCAGCGACGCCGCGUGAGGGAUGACGGUCUUCGGAUCGGAAACCUCUGUCAGCAGGGAAGAACGGUCACUGUGCUAAUCAGCAGUGAAUUGACCGUACCUGCAAAGGAAGCACCGGCUAACUCCGUGCCAGCAGCCGCGGUAAUACGGAGGGUGCGAGCGUUGGUCGGAAUUACUUGGCGUAAAGCGCUCGUAGGCGGUAUGUGAAGUCAAGGGUGAAAUCCCCGCGCUCAACGUGGGAACUGCCUUUGAAACUGGCAAACUGGAGUGUGAGAGAGGAUAGUGGAAUGCCAGGUGUAGGAGUGAAAUCCGUAGAUAUCUGGAGGAACAUCAGUUGCGAAGGCGACUAUCUGGCACAUAACUGACGCUGAGGAGCGAAAGCGUGGGUAGCAAACAGGAUUAGAUACCCCUGUAGUC